rnacentral:rRNA from 1 species
GCUGGCGGCAUGCCUAAUACAUGCAAGUCGAACGGUACAGGUCGCUGUGAUCCCUUCGGGGUGAACUUGAUGCUGACGAGUGGCGGACGGGUGAGUAAUGCUUGGGAAUCUGCCCAGUAGUGGGGGACAACACGGGGAAACUCGUGCUAAUACCGCAUACGUCCCCUUGUUUGAUUUACGAGGGGAGAAAGUGGGGGAUCGUUCGGACCUCACGCUAUUGGAUGAGCCCAAGUCGGAUUAGCUUGUUGGUGGGGUAACGGCUUACCAAGGCGACGAUCCGUAGCUGGUCUGAGAGGACGAUCAGCCACACUGGGACUGAGACACGGCCCAGACUCCUACGGGAGGCAGCAGUGGGGAAUAUUGGACAAUGGGGGCGAACCCCUGAUCCAGCAAUGCCGCGUGUGUGAAGAAGGCCUGCGGGUUGUAAAGCACUUUCAAUCGUGAAGAAAAGCUUACGGUUAAUACCCGUAAGUAUUGACGUUAACGAUACAAGAAGCACCGGCUAACUCCGUG